GCUGGCGGCGUGCCUAACACAUGCAAGUCGAACGAGAAAGUGGAGCAAUCCAUGAGUAAAGUGGCGACCGGGUGAGUAACACGUGACUAACCUACCCUCGAGUGGGGAAUAACUCCGGGAAACCGGGGCUAAUACCGCAUAACAUCGCAAGAUCAAAGCAGCAAUGCGCUUGAGGAGGGGGUCGCGGCUGAUUAGCUAGUUGGCGGGGUAACGGCCCACCAAGGCGAAGAUCGGUAUCCGGCCUGAGAGGGCGCACGGACACACUGGAACUGAAACACGGUCCAGACUCCUACGGGAGGCAGCAGUGGGGAAUUUUGCGCAAUGGGGGAAACCCUGACGCAGCAACGCCGCGUGGAGGAUGAAGCCCUUUGGGGCGUAAACUCCUUUCGACUCGGACGAUAAUGACGGUACGAGUGGAAGAAGCACCGGCUAACUCUGUGCCAGCAGCCGCGGUAAUACAGAGGGUGCGAGCGUUGUUCGGAAUUAUUGGGCGUAAAGGGCGCGUANGCGGUGCGGUAAGUCACCUGUGAAAUCUCCUGGCUUAACUGGGA
rnacentral:rRNA from 1 species